GACGGAGGGGGCUAGCGUUGUUCGGAAUUACUGGGCGUAAAGAAUGCGUAGGCGGUUUAGUAAGUUGGAAGUGAAAGCCCGGGGCUUAACCUCGGAAUUGCUUUCAAAACUGCUAAUCUAGAGUGUAGUAGGGGAUGAUGGAAUUCCUAGUGUAGAGGUGAAAUUCUUAGAUAUUAGGAGGAACACCGGUGGCGAAAGCGGUCAUCUGGGCUACAACUGACGCUGAUGCAUGAAAGCGUGGGGAGCAAACAGG
rnacentral:rRNA from 1 species